rnacentral:lncRNA from 1 species
GGAUGCAGGGAAAAUGGGAUACAUGGGAAAACGGGAUACAAGAGAGAUGGGAUGCAGGGAAAAUGGGAUGCAAAUGAGAUGGGAAACAGGAAAAACAGGAUACAGGGAAAUGGGAAUAUGGGAAAAUGGGAUGGAAGUGAGAUGGGAAUAUGGGAAAAGGGGAUACAAGUGGGAAUGGGAAGCAGGGAAAAUGGGAUCCAGGGGGAGGUGGGAAAUUGGGAAAAUGGGAAGCAGAAGAGAUGGGAUUCAGGGAAAAUGGGAUGCAGGGGGAGGUGGGAAGCAGGGAAAGUGGGAUGGAGGGAAAGUGGGGAGCUGGAGGAGAUGGGAUCCAGGGAAAAAUGGGAAUAUGGGAAAAUGGGAUGCAAGUGAGAUGGGAAAGAGGGAAAAUGGGAUACAAGUGGGAAUGGGAUGCAGGGAAAAUGGGAUCCAGGGGGAGGUGGGGAAUUGGGAAAAUGGGAAGCACAGGAGAUGGGAUUCAGGGAAAAUGGGAUGCAGGUGGAAAUGAGAAAAUGGGAGAGAUGGGAGCAGGGAAAAUGGGAUGAAAGAGGCGAUUGGAAAUAUGGAAAAAUAGGAUGCAGGGGGAGGUGGGAAGCAGGGAAAGUGGGGUGGAGGGAAAAGUGGGGAGCUGGAGGAGAUGGGAUCCAGGGAAAAAUGGGAAUAUGGGAAAAUGGGAUACAAGUGGGAAUGGGAUGGGAUUGGAGAUCCAUGGAUCCCAUCCCAAACCAUUCCGGGAUUCUGGGAUCCAGGACACUCAGGAUCCAUCCCGAGGGAUUUUUAUGGAAUUCGGGGAUGGAAAAGGGAAGGGAGACCCUUCCUGGAAUCCCGAAUUCCCAGUGAAGCCCCUGGAUCCCAAAAUUCCUUCUCAAGGAGGAGCUGAGUGCUGGAUCCUGGUUCUGGUCCUGGUUUUGGUUCCAAUACCGGUGCUGGGUCCUGGUUCUGGUCCUGAUACCGGUGGCGGGUGCUGGGUCCCGGUUCUUGGUCCUGGUUCUGGUCCCGGUUCUGGUCCCGGUUCUGGUCCCAACACCGGUUUUGGGUUCUGGGUGCCGGUACCAGCUUCAACGCGGGUGUUUGGGACCCGGUGCCGGUUCCGGGUGUCACUCCUGGUUCUGGGUCCUUGUCCCAGUGUCGUUGUUGGCUGCUGGUUCCGGUUCUGGUGCCAUUGUUGGGUGCUGGGUGCUGAUACCGGUGCCGGUUCUGGUCCUGGUGCUGGGUGCUGACUGGUGGGUGCUG